CUGAGAAAAUUAAGUUAUCAGCUAAUGAUUGUGCGGUGCAGGUGCAUAAAGUAAGAGACAUGAAUAUGGAAACUCAAUAAUGCCACUCCAAAAGCAAAAUAUAUAAAUACAAGAUUAUACAUGUAUGUUUGGCUCCGCUUUUAGAGGGGUUCAAAUUGAUUUAGAGAUGUAGAUUUUUUUUAACGGCAAAUAUAUUAUUAACUCGGUCUCUGCACCAGACGGACAAAGACUGGUGAAAAAGGAACAACAUAACAGUCACAGAGGCGCCAUGUAUAUGACACCGAAAAUAAACACCAAAACAAACAUCAUCUAAUCGAGGUCCACAUCCUAAUCCCAUAAUCAGAAAGACACCCCUCAGCUUCCAGACCACCGGAGAAGACAUCAACCCGACCCAGAAAGUUGUCAAUAUAGAAUUGAUUUCGACAUGUUUGGUUUCUCUAGAGUUUGAAGCUAGAAAUUGUAAAUUUUGAUUCUAAAAGUGAUUUCUACACUCAAAUAUGAGUAUAUUCAAACAUAAAUCACUUUAUCUUCAACUCAAUUUUAAUUAGAAUCACGUUUCCAUAAUCAAUUCACUCAAAAUCAAUUUUUCUCACCGCAUCAAACAUGUUGUUGCUUCAUAGUUCAUAUGAUUAAAUAAACAGAGAUUGAAAAAGUAUGAAUAAACAAACAAUUGAAAAGCAUCAAAUUGAAAGUUGAGAAGAAACAAAAAUAGAAAUGAUUACCGAUUUCUUAAUGCAAAGUUGUUUAGCACUAUCAGCAACU
rnacentral:lncRNA from 1 species